AGCAGUCGCCGCGGUAAUACGAAGGGUGCAAGCGUUACUCGGAAUUGCUGGGCGUAAAGCGUGCGUAGGUGGUGGUUUAAGUCCGUUGUGAAAGCCCUGGGCUCAACCUGGGAAUUGCAGUGGAUACUGGGUCACUAGAGUGUGGUAGAGGAUAGUGGAAUUUCCGGUGUAGCAGUGAAAUGCGUAGAGAUCGGAAGGAACAUCUGUGGCGAAGGCGACUAUCUGGGCCAACACUGACACUGAGGCACGAAAGCGUGGGGAGCAAACAGGAUUAGAUACCCCUGUAGUCCCUGUCUCUUAUAC
rnacentral:rRNA from 1 species